AUUGAACGCUGGCGGCAGGCCUAACACAUGCAAGUCGAACGAGUGGCGGACGGGUGAGUAAUGUAUGGGAAACUGCCUGAUGGAGGGGGAUAACUACUGGAAACGGUAGCUAAUACCGCAUACCAUCGGAUGUGCCCAGAUGGGAUUAGCUCGUAGGUGGGGUAAAGGCUAACCUGGGCGACGAUCCCUAGCUGGUCUGAGAGGAUGACCCGCCACACUAGAACUGAGACACGCUCCAGACUCCUACGUGAGGCAGCAGUGGGGAAUAUUGCACAAGGGGCUCAAGCCGGAUGCAGCCAUGCCGCUUGGAUGAAGAAGGCCUUCGUGUUGUAAAGUACUUUCAUCGGGGAGGCGUUACCCGCAGAAGAAGCACCGGCUAACUCCGUGCCAGCAGCCGCGGUAAUAC
rnacentral:rRNA from 1 species